ACAUAUCUCUAGUUUGUGCGUGAAUCGAACCCCAUCUUGGCCGUUCAUUUUUACGGCCCAUCCAAUGGUGUUAGAUUCACGCAUAAACUCGAAAUCUGUCU
rfam:Jatropha curcas cultivar GZQX0401 scaffold542_19, whole genome shotgun sequence.